rnacentral:rRNA from 1 species
GAUGAACGCUGGCGGCGUGCCUAAUACAUGCAAGUCGAGCGAACAGACGAGGAGCUUGCUCCUCUGACGUUAGCGGCGGACGGGUGAGUAACACGUGGAUAACCUACCUAUAAGACUGAGAUAACUUCGGGAAACCGGAGCUAAUACCGGAUAACAUGUUGAACCGCAUGGUUCAACAGUGAAAGACGGUCUUGCUGUCACUUAUAGAUGGAUCCGCGCCGCAUUAGCUAGUUGGUAAGGUAACGGCUUACCAAGGCAACGAUGCGUAGCCGACCUGAGAGGGUGAUCGGCCACACUGGAACUGAGACACGGUCCAGACUCCUACGGGAGGCAGCAGUAGGGAAUCUUCCGCAAUGGGCGAAAGCCUGACGGAGCAACGCCGCGUGAGUGAAGAAGGUCUUCGGAUCGUAAAACUCUGUUAUUAGGGAAGAACAAAUGUGUAAGUAACUAUGCACGUCUUGACGGUACCUAAUCAGAAAGCCACGGCUAACUACGUG